CCCUUAGAUGUUCUGGGCCGCACGCGUGCUACACUGAGUGGAUCAGCGGGUCAGGUUGCGCGAAAGUGUUUCCUAAUCUUGAAAUCCGCUCGUGAUGGGGAUUGACGGUUGCAAUUUUCCGUCAUGAACGAGGAAUACCUUGUAAGCGCGGGUCAUCAUCCCGCGCUGAAUACGUCCCUGCCCUUUGUACACACCGCCCGUCGCUCCUACCGAUUGAGUGGUCCGGUGAGGCUUUGGGAUCUGAGCAAAGAGAGCGUUUCGCUCGUUUUGCCCGGAAAACUCAGUCGAACCUUAUCAUUUAGAGGAAGGAGUAGUCGUAACA
rnacentral:rRNA from 1 species